GAUGAACGCUGGCGGCGUGCCUAAUACAUGCAAGUCGAGCGAACAGAUGAGGAGCUUGCUCCUCUGACGUUAGCGGCGGACGGGUGAGUAACACGUGGAUAACCUACCUAUAAGACUGGGAUAACUUCGGGAAACCGGAGCUAAUACCGGAUAAUAUAUUGAACCGCAUGGUUCAAUAGUGAAAGACGGUUUUGCUGUCACUUAUAGAUGGAUCCUCGCCGCAUUAGCUAGUUGGUAAGGUAACGGCUUACCAAGGCAACGAUGCGUAGCCGACCUGAGAGGGUGAUCGGCCACACUGGAACUGAGACACGGUCCAGACUCCUACGGGAGGCAGCAGUAGGGAAUCUUCCGCAAUGGGCGAAAGCCUGACGGAGCAACGCCGCGUGAGUGAUGAAGGUCUUCGGAUCGUAAAGCUCUGUUAUUAGGGAAGAACAAAUGUGUAAGUAACUAUGCACGUCUUGACGGUACCUAAUCAGAAAGCCACGGCUAACUACGUG
rnacentral:rRNA from 1 species